rnacentral:rRNA from 1 species
UGACGGUACCUGUUGAAUAAGCUCCGGCUAACUACGUGCCAGCAGCCGCGGUAAUACGUAGGGAGCAAGCGUUAUCCGGAUUUACUGGGUGUAAAGGGCGUGUAGGCGGAACUGCAAGUCAGAUGUGAAAACUGAGGGCUCAACCCUCAGCCUGCAUUUGAAACUGUAGUCCUUGAGUGUCGGAGAGGUUAACGGAACUCCUAGUGUAGCGGUGAAAUGCGUAGAUAUUAGGAAGAACACCAGUGGCGAAGGCAGCUGACCAGGCCGUAAAUGACGCUCAUGCACGAAAGUGCGGGGAUCGAACAGGAUUAGAUACCCUG